rnacentral:rRNA from 1 species
AGAGUUUGAUCCUGGCUCAGGAUGAACGCUAGCGGCAGGCCUAAUACAUGCAAGUCGAACGGUGAUAGCAAUAUCAUAGUGGCGCACGGGUGCGUAACACGUAUGCAACCUACCUAUUAUUGGGGGAUAGCCUUUGGAAACGGAGAUUAAUACCGCAUAAUACGAUUGACUGGCAUCGGUUGAUUGUUAAAGCUUCGGCGAUAAUAGAUGGGCAUGCGUCCAAUUAGUUAGUUGGUUAGGUAACGGCUGACCAAGACGAUGAUUGGUAGGGGAUCUGAGAGGAUAAUCCCCCACACUGGCACUGAGAUACGGGCCAGACUCCUACGGGAGGCAGCAGUAGGGAAUAUUGGGCAAUGGGCGGAAGCCUGACCCAGCCAUGCCGCGUGAAGGAGGAAGGCGUUAUGCGUUGUAAACUGCUUUUUUAUAGGAAGAAGGAUCCCUUGCGAGGGAAGGUGGCGGUACUAUAAGAAUAAGCACCGGCUAACUCCGUGCCAGCAGCCGCGGUAAUACGGAGGGUGCAAGCGUUGUCCGGAUUUAUUGGGUUUAAAGGGUGCGUAGGCGGUUUAUUAAGUCAGUGGUGAAAGACGGUCGCUCAACGAUUGCAGUGCCAUUGAUACUGGUAGACUUGAGUGAG